rnacentral:rRNA from 1 species
AUUGAACGCUGGCGGCAGGCCUAACACAUGCAAGUCGAACGAGUGGCGGACGGGUGAGUAAUGUCUGGGAAACUGCCUGAUGGAGGGGGAUAACUACUGGAAACGGUAGCUAAUACCGCAUACCAUCGGAUGUGCCCAGAUGGGAGUAGCUAGUAGGUGGGGUGAAGGCUCACCGAGGCGACGAUCCCUAGCUGGUUUGAGAGGAUGACCAGCCACACUGGAACUGUGACACGGUCCAGACUCCUACGGUAGGCAGCAGUGGGGAAUAUUGCACAAUGGGGGGAAGCCUGAUGCAGCCAUUCCGCGUGUAUGAAGAAGGCCUUCGGGUUGUAAAGUACUUUCAGCGGUGAGGCGUUACCCGCAGAAUAAGCACCGGCUAACUCCGUGCCAGCAGCCGCGGUAAUAC